rnacentral:rRNA from 1 species
GACGAACGCUGGCGGCGUGCUUAACACAUGCAAGUCGAACGGUGAACGAGGGAGCUUGCUCCCUCCGGAUCAGUGGCGAACGGGUGAGUAACACGUGAGCAAUCUGCCCCGAACUCUGGGAUAAGCGUUGGAAACGACGUCUAAUACCGGAUACGACGCGGGAGGGCAUCCUCUCCGCGUGGAAAGAACUUCGGUUCGGGAUGAGCUCGCGGCCUAUCAGCUUGUUGGUGAGGUAACGGCUCACCAAGGCGACGACGGGUAGCCGGCCUGAGAGGGUGACGGGCCAAAAGGGGACGGAGAAACGGCCCAGACCCCUAGGGGGGGGAGGGGGGGGGAAAAUGGCAAAAGGGGCGAAAGCCGGAGGCAGCACCGCCGGGGGGGGGACGAGGGCCUUCGGGUGGGAAACCCUUUUUAGAAGGAAAGAAGGGAAAGGGAGGGGACCGGCAAAAAAAGCACCGGCGAACUACGU